rnacentral:rRNA from 1 species
CCGCCCGUCACAUCACGAAAGUGGAUUGUACUAGAAGUCUGCGCGCUAACCCGCAAGGGGGGCAGCGGCCCAAGGUAUGAUUACAUGAUUGGGGUGAAGUCGUAACAAGGUACCC